ensembl:lncRNA
AUCAAUCACUAUUCCAGAAACAUCUUCCUUUGUAGUUUCCAAAGCAACAGGUCUACACAAUUCAUCUUUUCCUGCAGCUUGAACAGAGGGAUCUAUCCUAGGGCAUCAACCAUUAUAAACCCACUUCCAUACAAUGCAGUGCAUGGUGAUCCAGAACUCUCCGGAGACUUUACAAUAUCGUAAGGAGCAGGAGAAAAGCGUGAGGAGGAAGGAGCAACAAAGAAGAACUCCUGGGCUGCCCGCAGCUUCCCCUCCCCAUCCCUUGUGUCGCUUGUGAGGACAGAAGAGCUGACAGGAGAGAGCAGAGGAACAGGGAACCACAGGACAAGGUUGAGCCUGGGAAGAAGGGAGAACUGGGGCAAGGUGGCUUUAGGUUUGGCUUUGUUUCUUACCAUCAUACUCUGUUUUUCAUUCCCAAUAAAGUAAAUUAAUC